rnacentral:rRNA from 1 species
UGGGGAAUUUUGGACAAUGGGCGAAAGCCUGAUCCAGCAAUGCCGCGUGUGUGAAGAAGGCCUUCGGGUUGUAAAGCACUUUUGUCCGGAAAGAAAUCCUCUGGGUUAAUACCUCGGGGGGAUGACGGUACCGGAAGAAUAAGCACCGGCUAACUACGUGCCAGCAGCCGCGGUAAUACGUAGGGUGCAAGCGUUAAUCGGAAUUACUGGGCGUAAAGCGUGCGCAGGCGGUUUUGUAAGACGGAUGUGGAAUCCCCGGGCUUAACCUGGGAACUGCAUUCGUGACUGCAAGGCUAGAGUAUGGCAGAGGGGGGUAGAAUUCCACGUGUAGCAGUGAAAUGCGUAGAGAUGUGGAGGAAUACCGAUGGCGAAGGCAGCCCCCUGGGCCAAUACUGACGCUCAUGCACGAAAGCGUGGGGAGCAAACA